rnacentral:rRNA from 1 species
UACGGGGGGGGCAAGCGUUGUUCGGAAUUACUGGGCGUAAAGGGCUCGUAGGCGGCCAACUAAGUCAGACGUGAAAUCCCCAGGCUCAACCUGGGAACUGCGUCUGAUACUGGAUGGCUUGAAUUCGGGAGAGGGAUGCAGAAUUCCAGGUGUAGCGGUGAAAUGCGUAGAUAUUGGGAGGAACACCAGUGGCGAAGGCGGCUCACUGGACCGGAACUGACGCUGAGGCGCGAAAGCGUGGGGAGCAAACAGG